UCAGGUUGGCUGGAUAAACUCAGAAUCCAGCUGCUAUGCGAUUUAUAACGCUGAUGUUUCUGGUCAGAAAACCUGGGAAGAAGCUCGAGAAGAUUGCAGAGGAAAGAUUUCAGAUCUGGUUGUUAAAUUUGAUCAAACGGAGAAGAAAUGCAGCUCCAAACUUGCAAGGAUCCUCCACCAUGCUUCACAGGCCGCUUCUGACCAGACUUCUCCAGACAGUAGAUGGGAGUACCAGGAUCAAACUAUUUUCUUCAGCUCUGAACUGAUGGCACAGCUGGACUUCUUCCAAUUGUGAAGUGACGGAAGCACGGUGUAUCUUUUAUCUGCUGCAGUAAGUUUCCUUGGCAGACCAGUGCGUCUAUGGUCCUCAAUGUUGCCUGUUUCUUUGUGCUUUUUCAAAAGAGCCUGGACACACAUCUGCAAACCCCUGUCUGUAUGGAAAUUUCUGCCCUUGUUGAUGCAGUAUAACUGUCUUGUUCCUGUGUCUUGCCAUAUUAUAUGACAUUUUACAGUAAACUGUCUUCAGCAUCCUCACCUUGUUAGCUGAAUUUGGCUGUUCCUCAUCCUGCACAGCUGUUUCUGUUAAUAAUUGUGUUUCCACCUACAUAUUGAGUUGGUGAUCAUUAGCACCUGUUUAGUGUAAUUGUUCAAUCAUACACCUGACUAUGCCUAUAAAAGCCCUGACGAGAAGGCAAAAGGUUGUCACACCAAAUGUGAGUUGGAACACAGGUCAGUUGGAACACGUCCAAUUUCUUCAAUCAGGAAGUUAUGAAUUACCUGAUCUCUGCACAUGCUUAGUUUAGUUAUUAUUCCACAUGGGGAAAAGUAGCACUCUGUGGCAGCACAGCCAGUAUUAGAAGGAAAAAAGGUAUUUUCAGUUAUGAAAGUAUCAUUUGUUUUUGUUAUAGCAUUGCCUCCUUUGUAGUUAGACUUUCCAAACUUAAAUCAUGUUUCUUGUAAAAAUGUAAAUAUAUUUCACAUACAGAAAUACAAAUGUCACACAGUUUCAUUUACGUUGUACCACUGCAACUCAGAAAAAGGAAGUAAUGAAUAGGAUAGAAACCACCAAAACAGGGCGUCCCGGAGGUCUAGAAGCUGUUUUUGUAUUGAAAAAAACAAAAAAAACU